rnacentral:rRNA from 1 species
UACGUAGGGGGCAAGCGUUGUCCGGAUUUAUUGGGCGUAAAGAGCUCGUAGGCGGCUCAGUAAGUCGGGUGUGAAACCUCCAGGCUCAACCUGGAGACGCCACUCGAUACUGCUGUGGCUUGAGUCCGGUAGGGGAGCACGGAAUUCCUGGUGUAGCGGUGAAAUGCGCAGAUAUCAGGAGGAACACCAGUGGCGAAGGCGGUGCUCUGGGCCGGAACUGACGCUGAGGCGCGAAAGCGUGGGGAGCAAACAGG